GACGAACGCUGGCGGCGUGCUUAACACAUGCAAGUCGAACGAAGAGCGAUGGAAGCUUGCUUCUAUCAAUCUUAGUGGCGAACGGGUGAGUAACGCGUAAUCAACCUGCCCUUCAGAGGGGGACAACAGUUGGAAACGACUGCUAAUACCGCAUACGAUCUAAUCUCGGCAUCGAGGAUAGAUGAAAGGUGGCCUCUACAUGUAAGCUAUCACUGAAGGAGGGGAUUGCGUCUGAUUAGCUAGUUGGAGGGGUAACGGCCCACCAAGGCGAUGAUCAGUAGCCGGUCUGAGAGGAUGAACGGCCACAUUGGGACUGAGACACGGCCCAGACUCCUACGGGAGGCAGCAGUGGGGAAUCUUCCGCAAUGGACGAAAGUCUGACGGAGCAACGCCGCGUGAGUGAUGACGGCCUUCGGGUUGUAAAGCUCUGUUAAUCGGGACGAAAGGCCUUCUUGCGAAUAGUGAGAAGGAUGGACGUACCGGAAUAGAAGCC
rnacentral:rRNA from 1 species